CCGCUUCCGGCGUCUGGCUCACUUCCGCCAUGGCCUCCUUGGAAGUGAGUCGUAGUCCGCUCAGCUCUCGGCGGGAGCUGGAGGUGCGCAGUACACGACAGGACAAAUAUUCGGUGCUUUUACCCACCUACAACGAGCGCGAGAACCUGCCGCUUAUCGUGUGGUUGCUGGUGAAAAGCUUCUCCGAGAGUGGAAUCAACUAUGAAAUUAUAAUCAUAGAUGAUGGAAGCCCAGAUGGAACAAAGGAUGUUGCUGAACAGUUGGAGAAGAUCUAUGGGUCAGACAGAAUUCUUCUAAGACCACGAGAGAAAAAGCUGGGACUAGGAACUGCGUAUAUUCAUGGAAUGAAACAUGCCACAGGAAACUACAUAAUUAUUAUGGAUGCUGAUCUCUCACACCAUCCAAAAUUUGUUCCUGAAUUCAUUAGGAAGCAAAAGGAGGGUAAUUUUGAUAUUGUCUCUGGAACUCGCUACAAAGGAAAUGGAGGUGUAUAUGGCUGGGAUUUGAAAAGAAAAAUAAUCAGCCGUGGGGCCAAUUUUUUAACUCAGAUUUUGCUGAGACCAGGAGCAUCUGAUUUAACAGGAAGUUUCAGAUUAUAUCGAAAAGAAGUUCUAGAGAAAUUAAUAGAAAAAUGUGUUUCUAAAGGCUACGUCUUCCAGAUGGAGAUGAUUGUUCGGGCAAGACAGUUGAAUUAUACUAUUGGUGAGGUAUGCAACUGGUGCUAAAUAGUCAUGUUCCUGGUAAAGGAGCAGUAAAGUUUAGACUUUUUGUAAUAAAAAGUUUAACUUCAUAACUGCUAAAUUGUGAAGGUCUUCUGGUUGUUUAGAAUGUUCAUGCACAAAGGGUAAAAAUUCACAUUAGUACAUUUGAACAAUAAGAUUUAAAACAUUAACAGUUAGCAUUGUCUUUUAAAUAAUGGAAAGUUCCUGGUACUUUCUCAAUCCUAGCCUUCCUUCUAACUGGUCAGCAUUAUGGACUGAGUCUCUCUGCUUUUCCUUUUGCCACAGCCAGUGUCCACCAUGCUUUAAAAUGAAUGACGAAUCCCAUAUGUCCAUUUCCUGUAAGUGAAGACCAGGAAUUAUAGAGCCAAGGGAGUGGUGAUCUGUAAUACUUAGGGCUAGCUAGUGAGCUCUUAGGGUGGGGAAGACUCUCCUCAUUUACUAGUGAAACUCUUAUUCAUAGCAAGAAACUAGCUAACCUGAAAUGUCACUUCUCCCAUGGAAGUUGCAAGAUGUUUUACUUAAUGCUAAGCUGUUAUAGCUAAAUUUGACAAACAACUGAAAAAUCUAAGCAAAAGGCCAUUUUACUUUUGGAGUAUAAUUUUUCUUUGAAAUGCAAACUGAAACUUGAGUAAACCAAGGUAAUACCUAGGAUCAGUGCUUUUUAAACAGCUGUAGAUUGGUUCAUAUGACCUAUCUUUAGAUGAUGCGCUUAAUUUUAAAGACUUGGAGAUACACAUAGUUGCUUUAAGAAUCCCCUAAUUUUAUAGUUACUUUAAGGACUUCUGUUGUAGGACUAGUCCGAAUUCUGUUGUGUUGGUAAUAUGGUAUACCUGCUAAGCUACCUAAUUUUUUUUGAAGACUGACUUUAACGUAUUUUUUUUUUUUU